rnacentral:misc_RNA from 1 species
CAUUCAGUACUUUCGGGGCUGUAAGUCUAUAUCACUAUAGCGUGCCUCUGUCUGAACCCUUGUCUUUUGCGUACUUAUGUUUCCUCGGCGGGCUUGCUCGCCGUUGGACAACUAUAAAACCUUUUUAAUUUCAAUCAGCGUCUGAACAAACAUAAUAAUUA